AUGUGUUGAAUAAAAAUACUGGCGAAAAUCAACAAAAUAGCCUAAUAUAAUGAAAAUAAAGUAAUAAAAAAAUAAAAACUUAAAAUAAAAUGAAAUAAAAUCAAUAAAAAGAAUGCAAGGAAUGAAGUCUGGGAAAGAAACAAGGAAAAAUUGAGAAAAUCGAUGAAAACUGAAAAGGAAAGAAGAAAAAAUCAAAGAAAAUGGAGAAAGAACAAAAGAAUACCGAAAAACGAGUGAAAAGCAAGAAUAAAACUAAGAAAUCAAUUCAAAAAUAAAGGAAAAAACCAAAGAAAUCCCUAAAGACCAGAAAAGAUAAAGAAAAAACAAAGAAAGAAAACCAAAGAAAA
rnacentral:lncRNA from 1 species